UACGAAGGGGGCUAGCGUUGCUCGGAAUGACUGGGCGUAAAGGGCGCGUAGGCGGAUGGCACAGUCAGAUGUGAAAUUCCCGGGCUUAACCUGGGGGCUGCAUUUGAUACGUGUUGUCUAGAGUGAGGAAGAGGGUUGUGGAAUUCCCAGUGUAGAGGUGAAAUUCGUAGAUAUUGGGAAGAACACCGGUGGCGAAGGCGGCUCUCUGGACCGAUACUGACGCUGAGGCGCGAAAGCGUGGGGAGCAAACAGGAUUAGAAACCCUUGAU
rnacentral:rRNA from 1 species